GCAGAAUGUCCUAUUCAGCAAAGAGUAAGGAAAUCUUAAUACAGUGUGGCAAUGGUUAGGCAUUGUGCUCUGUUCCCAACAGUUCUUGUUAUGAAUCCCCUCCCCGCAAAAAAAAAUCUUUCCAUAAGAAGUGAUCUUAACUGAAAAACGGACGCUGACAUACACUUAGUGAAGAUGAGGUCUGUAGUGGGGUUCCCUGGUGCAGUGGGACUGGAGUCCUUUGAAAGGGACCCUUGAGCAGAAACUCACACACAAGGAGACUCCAGGAUCUGUUCACUAGCAGCACAGGAGCAGCCCAGGUCUGGGAGCCUCGAUCAACUCUGCCAUAUAUCCAGGUUCCCUCUCCCUGCCUGUGCUGACUCAGCCGCCCUCCCUCUCUGUGUCUCCUGGAGCCACAGCCAGACUCACCUGCACCCUGAGCAGCGGAUUCAGUGUUGGCAGCUAUACCAUACACUGGUACUAGUAGAAGGGAUCCCGGUCAUCUCCAGGUUGCAACCUGAGGACGAGGCUGACUACUACUGCAGAAUAUAUCAUGGAAACACAGACUCUUCACAGCGCUCCAGACCAAGGGGAAAUAAGGCAAAAACCUCCCCACUGCUCUGCUCUGCUCACAACGGGAGCCUGGGAGGACCUUCCACACCCACAUGGGUGGGCUCUCACCCUGCACAGACAGAGCCUCAUACACAUUCCUCAGCCCUGGGAGACCCUCACUUUCUGGGUGCCCAGGGAGAGGCCUCCCUCCCACCUUUGAACAGGUAAACAGAUCAUUAUCUAGGAAGAUGUGCAAAUUAUAAUUAAAUGUAGAG